rnacentral:rRNA from 1 species
GACGAACGCUGGCGGCGUGCUUAACACAUGCAAGUCGAACGGAAAGGCCCUGCUUGCAGGGUACUCGAGUGGCGAACGGGUGAGUAACACGUGGGAGAUCUGCCCUGCACUUCGGGAUAAGCCUGGGAAACUGGGUCUAAUACCGGAUAGGAGCCAUUUUUAGUGUGAUGGUUGGAAAGUUUUUUCGGUGUAGGAUGAGCUCGCGGCCUAUCAGCUUGUUGGUGGGGUAAUGGCCUACCAAGGCGGCGACGGGUAGCCGGCCUGAGAGGGUGGACGGCCACAUUGGGACUGAGAUACGGCCCAGACUCCUACGGGAGGCAGCAGUGGGGAAUAUUGCACAAUGGGCGCAAGCCUGAUGCAGCGACGCCGCGUGGGGGAUGACGGCCUUCGGGUUGUAAACUCCUUUCGCUAGGGACGAAGCUUUUUGUGACGGUACCUAGAUAAGAAGCACCGGCUAACUACGUG